rnacentral:hammerhead_ribozyme from 1 species
AUCCAGCUGAUGAAUCGGAAAUCGGACGAAACGCGCGUCCUGGAU